AUGUCUUUCAGUUCUUCCUAAUCACCUUCUUGACCCAAACCUCUUUCUUCUGCUCUCUUAUUUCACGUCAAGGCCCCUAAUUAGCAUCCUGUGUUGGCUUUCCAAAGCUGGUUGGAAGGAUAAGAGUAAGAGGCCAGGAAAUAAACAGAAACCUUUUCAAUUUGGUCUAAGGGUCAUACUAUGUUUAUCACUGGGUUUCUUUACUGCAGUAUGAUCUACUGUUGUGGUUUGACUCCAGCCAACAUCUGAACACUGGGAUUCUCUCACUUGCUCCCCUCUCCCGUGGGACAAGGAGAAAAUAGAAGGAAGACAGGAAGACUUGCGGAUUGAGAUAAAGACAUUUUAAUAGGUGAAGCAAAAGCCGUGUCUGCAAACAAAGAAAAGAAGGAAUUUAUUCACUGCUUCCUGUCGGCGGGCAGAUGUUUAGGUACUACCUGGAAAGUGGGGUCUCAGCAUGAGUAACCAUGGCUUAGAAAGAUAAACGUCAUGAUCAGAAAGGCAACUGCUGUUAAGGCAAUGCCAAAAAAGAGAAACCAGAAAUCCUCCCAACCAGAGGUCACUGUGGAGAUCUAAUUUCCAA
ensembl:lncRNA